rnacentral:lncRNA from 1 species
AGGAUCCAGAGGAGGAGAUGCUAGUUUCUCAAAUCAAUUCCCUAUCUUCUCAUUUGGGUUCAUGGUUAUUUAUAACAAUUUGUUCAACUAGAAUUCGUAUUGUAACUACUAACUACUUAAUAUCUGUAACUACUUAUGAUUUAGCUGAAUCUUUAUUCAUAAGUGAAAUCCUUGUCUCACGUCGAACGCUUGCUCCUCGUUGGUCGAGCCGGGUUGGGUUGACACGAAUCCUCUGUCCGGCGAGUCCACUCCAAGCUUCAGUUCUUCCCGUAAUACUUCCUCCGUGCUGGCUUGGUCAAUUCCUACUGUUACAUCACCUUCCUCUUCUACCCGAACAUUGUCCUCAAGGUUCGCGUUUGGGUUGAGGUGGGCUAUCCAUUCUAAAUCUUCCCACGUUUGUUCAAUCGAUGGUAAUCCUCUCCAUUCUACUAAAACCUGCUCGGUCUUCCUGCCUUUGCGUGUGAUAAGCCUGUAUCCCACCACUGAUUUUGGGGCUACUAUAGGAUGUGAUUCCCACGUCGUCGGAAGUAGUUCUACCUUUUGCUCGUCUGCUAUUAUUCCCACUACCGGCUUCAGCAAGGAUAUGUGAAAUACUGGAAAGAUGCUGCUUCCGAUUGGCAAUUCUAAACGGUAUGCUACUUCGUUGAUUCUUUUGAUGACUUUGUAUGGUCGGAAUGGUCCAUAGUAUCUUUUGCUUAAUUUUGUGCAUGUCCAAUUGUUUACUGAAUUUUGACGAUACGGUUUGAGCUUCACCCACACCCAUUCUCCGACUUGUAAUUCCCAAAAUUUCCGCCUCUUGUCUGCAUAUUUCUUCAUCCGUGCUUGAGCCUGUUGUAGUUUAGUUUUCAAUUCCCCCAAGAUUUUUUUUUCUUCGUAUCAGUUCCUGGUCGACUGCCUCCACUCUCGAAUCUCCCGCUUGAUAGGGCAUCACUGACGGAGGUGGCCGGCUGUAUACUGCUUCAAACGGAGAUGUUCCGAUACUGUGGUGGUACACCGUGUUAUACCAUAAGUCGGCCCAGGGUAGCAUUUCCCUCCAUCCCCGCGGAUUGUCUUGAACCAUUGCACGUAAAUAUCCUUCGAUCGUUUUAUUGACGAUUUCCGUUUGUCCAUCCGAUUCCGGGUGGUAUGAUAAAGACAUAUUGAUCGUUGUUCCGCUCCUCAACAACAAUUCUUUUCAAAAUUUGUUGAUGAAGACUUUGUUCCGAUCUGAUACUACUUUGGAAGGUAUCCCAUGUAGCCGAACUACGUUUUCCGUGAAGAAUUGGGCCACUGAUAUUGCUGUAUAUGCUUCCGGUAAGCUACCCAGGUGGUAAUAUUUUGAUAGUCGGUCGACUAUUACCACAAUGACUGAAUGUCCCCGUACCACCGGUAAACCUGUAAUAAAAUCCAUGCUUACCUCCUCCCAGACGGCCACCAGAAUGCUUAGUGGGUGUAGUAGACCCAAAGGUUUCUCCGUCGGUAUUUUCGUUUGUUGGCAAACCCUGCAUUCAGCCACGAAUUUCUUCACCUGCCCGAUUAGCCCGUUCCAGAAAAAUUGGGAUUUCACCCGAUAUAGGGUUUGAUAUUACCCCACAUGUCCGCCCAAUUGUAAUCCAUGUAAUUCUGUUAGGAUCUCUUUUCUCAGAUCCGAUUCAGGCCCAAUACAGUAUCUUAGGUUAAACAUCAAGAAUUCACCCCGUACUUCGAAACCCGAGCGUGCUAUCUGGUUCGCUAAUUGAUCUCGGACCAUCUUGAUCCAUUCAUCCGUUCUAUUUUCUUCCUGGAGUCGACUCACGCAUUCCGUAACUGGUUCUGAUGCUAGUCGAUUUAAUUAUGUAUUGUAGUCAUUAUUUUCUUCCGCCGGUAGCCGUGAUAGAGCAUCUGCCGCGAUAUUCUCUUUGCCCUUCCGAUAAACUAUGAAUAGCCUAAUAAUUUUGUUAAAAAGAAUUGUUGCUCCGGCGUUUGUAUUGUUUGAUUGAUUAAAUUUUUCAAUGGAUGAUGGUCGGUUCGAAUCGUAAAUAUUCUGCCGAGGAGGUAGUGUCUCCAACGUCGGACGGAAUCUGUAAUGGCCCAAAGCUCUUUCGCAUAAGUGGAUGCACGUUGUCUUAAUACCGAUAAUUUUCUGCUGUAAAAUGCUACCGGGUGUUCUUGUUAUAACAAUACUGCUCCCACCUCGACUUCACACUCAUCUGUCUCCAAUACAAAUGGUAGUUCAAAAUUUGGGUAGACUAAGACCGGAGCCGUGAUUAACGUUUUUUUGAGUAUCCCAAAAGAUUCUUCCGCUUCCGUACUCCAUCUAAAGUUAUUUUUUUUAAUAGAUUGGUGAUAGGAACUGCCAAUUGUGCAUAACGGCUGGUGAAGCGUCUAUAAUAGCUUGUUAACCCCAAGAAUGCUCGGACUUGUCUAACGGUUUUUGGAACUGGCCAAGACUCAAUGGUCGAGACCUUGUCCGGAUCUGGCCGGAUGCCUUCUGUGGUAAUAAUAUGGCCCAGAUAUGCUAGCUUGGUGGCGCCAAAACAACACUUCGUUUUUCGUACUGAUAAGAAAUUUGAACUUAGUAUUGUAAAUACUUGUUCCAGAUGAUGCCGAUGUUCCUCGGUUGAAUGACUGUAAACCAAUAUGUCGUCGAAAAAUAUAAUAACAAAUUUUCGUAGAUAAGCUUCAAACAGAUUAUUCAUGGUUUCCUGGAACGUUGCGGUGCGUUGGUUAGCCCGAAUGGCAUUACGGUAAAUUCGUAAUGACCGUGAUGGGUUCUAAAUGCCGUCAUCGGAAUGUCUUCUUCUUUGAUUCUAAUUUGAUGAUAACCAGCUCUUAAAUCGAGUUUAGAAAAGAUUCUUGCCCCAUGAAGUUCAUUUGAUUAACUCAUUCAUUAUAGGGAUGGGAAAUCGAUCCCUGAUUGUUAGGCAUUAAGAGCACGGUAGUCGACGUAAAAUCUCCACGACCCAUCUUUCUUCCUGACUAGCAAGACGGGUGAUGAGAAAGGGCUAAUGCUUGGCCGAAUUAAACCUUGUUGUAAUAUUUCUUUCGUCAGCCUUUCAAUUUCAUUCCUCUGGAAGUGUGGAUACCUGUAUGGGUUCACAUUAACCGGUUGGGCCCCACUUAUUAGUGUAAUGCGAUGAUCGGUUGUUCUAUUUGGAGGUAAUUCGGUUGGAUCUUUAAAUGAUUCUUGAAAUUUUUCCAAUACUUCUUUGAGUUCUUCACUUUCUUGUGAUGGUGGGUCCGGCGGUUCACAAUUCAGAUGACAAAAAUACACGACUUCUCGGCGAUUCAAUACACCCGUUUCAGCAAUUUGCGUAUUCCCUUGUAAUUUCACGACCUUUCCACCGCAAUCGAAUUUCAGAGUCAACUGUUUGUAAUUUGGAUAAAGUUGUGGGUGCUCCCACUAUACUGAUAGUUGCUGCCCUCGAAUUGAUCCUGACAUCCGGAUAGUUUUAGGAUUAUAUGACCCCGAGAGAGCGUGCAAACUGAUUUCGAUGUCGUUGUUUGCCCCUUCUGGCUUCUGCCAUCGGAUCUAGAAUUGUUUCAUUGUGUAUCACCUCCGUUAAGCAAUCAUUCUCGACGCUUAGUUGAAAUAACUUUCCUUUACAGCGAUGACCCGGAAUAUAUUUUUCCUCGCAAUUAAAGUACAACCCUUUAGCCGUCCUUUCUUUUCUUUCUUAAAUUGUCAAAAUUCGUCGUACGAUCGGAACUGUCAUGCCUUCCGUUGGUGGUGUUUUGAGGAUCGGUUUAGAUUUGUUAUAAUUAUUCCAUGUCUUACCACUCCGAUUGGCUUCAAAAAAAUUUGCCGCGGCUAGAGCUUUUCUUAAAGUUGGCGGUCGAGCUAUUUUUAACUGGCUUUUGAUUUCUACUUUCAAGCCCCCAAUGAAGAACGUAAUUAAGGUCUCUUCUGACUGACCCUCUACUUCAUUUAACAAGUUCUCGAAUUUGGCCAUAUAUUUGGCCACCGUCCCCGUUUACUGCAACCUUGAUAGAUCUGCCAAUUUAUCAUCAUAAGCUGAACAACCGAAUCGCUCAGUUAAGUCCUCUACGAACCUAGCUCAUGUCGAUAGUAGUUUAUUUCGACGAAGACCCCGAAUCCAUGCCAAGGCUUCCUUGGUCAUAUGUAACGAUGCAAUUUGAAUCUUUGCAUCGUUCCCUAUUGAAUGAAGUGCAAAAUAUUCUUCGGCCUGGUAGAACCACCCUUGUGGAUCAUCCCCCGAAAAUUUCGGCAAGUCCAGUUUGAUUGAUCUUAGACGUUUGCCGUUUGACUCAAAUCCUUUACCUCCGAAGUUACCGCUGAAACCUUUCAGUAGCUGCUUUAUCUCCCCCAAUUCGUCACAGAUGUUCGAAAUAGCAAGAUCGUGACGUAUGGUUACAUCUGUUAACCUUUUAUUUUGGUCCGCCGAGAUAGUAGCUAACGAAUUCCGGAUCUCCUCCAAAGCUUCUUCCGGACGUCCUUCCAUAUCACAAAUUUUUUAAAAAAAUUGUUACUGUCACAAUUAAAUUCAAGCAGAAUUCAAUUAACGAAAUACGCCCCUGUUGAAGACCCAAUCAAGGCUUGGGACGCGCCUUUGGUCCCCCUGCUUUACUCGACGGAGAGUUUACGAUGAAAGCACCAAUGUAACAACGGUGAUCGUUGAGAUCGCCGGAGUCAGAAGGAAGAACGGAGUCCAGAGAGAAAAGCCGACAGUCGAAGACAGACUGCGGUUCCGGAGACGAAGAUGUUCGGACAGAGAAGAAUCCCCGAUGGAGCCGGAAGGAGAGUGACUAAUCCCGGAGGAUCCAGAGGAGGAGAUGCUAGUUUCUCAAAUCAAUUCCCUAUCUUCUCAUUUGGGUUCAUGGUUAUUUAUAACAAUUUGUUCAACUAGAAUUCGUAUUGUAACUACUAACUACUUAAUAUCUAUAACUACUUAUGAUUUAGCUGAAUCUUUAUUCAUAAGUGAAAUCCUUGUCUCGCGUCGAACGCUUGCUCCUCGCUGGUCGAGCCGGGUUGGGUUGACACGAAUCCUCUGCAACUUCCAGUGAGUCCACUCCAAGCUUCAGUUCUUCCCGUAAUACUUCCUCCACGCUGGCUUGAUCAAUUCCUACUGUUACAAUGACGUCGGCUAUGAUGAGUGUCGUCGACAAAAUUCAGCAGGAUAAAAGAACGGGAAGAAAGAUAGAGAGGGAUCGAAGGUACCUGACUCAAGAGAAAUUACACUCUGCCCUCUUCUCCGGAAGCGUUGGACUUUUAUAGGACUUCCAGGUUGUUAUAGUUAUCAUUUAGUUGUUGAUGACAGGUCGCCUGAUGCAGAUGACACGUCAUCCGAUGAAGAUGAGUUAUAUUGAUAACUAUAUGAUGAGUUAUCAUUUAGUUGAAG